ensembl:lncRNA
CCCCCGACCCCACACUGUCCCAGCAAGAGAAGCAGGAAACUCCGUGGGAAGACCUGGUCCGCCCAGGCCGUGCGGGGUGCGCGGCGGCCCGGGGCUCCGCCGAGUUUCUUAGAAAAGAGGCUGGGCCCCCAGACCUCAGCUCUGCAGAGACCAGACACCGGCGAGAAGUGGAGCCCCCUCCCCCUGCGGCCCGACCCCAGUUUCAACCCAGGCUGGGGCCCGCGGGAGGGAGGAGCGCGAGGCAGUGCCGACCCACAAACGGGCCCACCUGGACCGGGAGGGCGAGGCUCGGGCCCGGCCGAGCCAGGCAGCUGCGCAGAUGCGUCGCGGGCCUCGGACCCCGCCGGGAGGAGUGGGUCGCUCCGCCCUGACUCUGGGCUACUCUGGCCCUGGCUUCCCCAAGCCGGAGGGCUGGAUCGGCCAGUCUGGUCCCGAGGGAGGCCGCGGGUCCCCAGAUAUCUAGAGACACCCAGAGGUCAGGGGGUGCAGGGGCGGGGAGCGCCCCGGGACGCCCGGGGCUGGGGUCUCCCCAGAACGCGCCGUACGGGGUCCCGGCCCCCGGUCGCGGGCGCCUCCGCUGGGACUCCCCGGCCCCGCCCGGCCCCCUCCGCGGGUUCCCGAGCCCGGCUCCCGCGCGCACGGCCCGGCCGCGGAACUCGGCCGCACCCGCCCCGCGCGGCCGGCACUGCGGCAGGGGUCCGCGCCAAGUUGGGCGGACGCGGAGUUGCGGGAAGUGCGGGCCCGGUCGCGGGACGACCCCGCCCGGCGGCGCAACACAGGGGCGGCCGCGCGCGCCAACUUGGCGGUACCUGCGGGCGCCCGGCCCGGUCCGGCCUGGGCAGCUGCGGCGCGCCGCCAGCGGCAGGAAGUGCUCGGCGUCCCGGCGCUCCGGCUCCCAUGGACUUUCUCCGACCUCGCCCAGCACCGGCGGCCGCACCGCGGCGGGGGCGGGGCGGUGGCGGCGGGGGAGGUGCCCGCGGGCCGUUAAAGGGACAGCGCGCCGGACGCGCGCGCGCGCACUGGCAGCCAGGUGGGCGCCUGGGGCCGGGUCUGGAGGGACCGGGGGCCUGGAGGGUCCCGAGGGGGCCGGCGGGGGUGUGGGCGGGGGGCCCGAGCGCGGGGAAGGGGAGGAGGCAGCUCCUCGCCCCUCGCGUGUCCUCCUUCCGGAGCUGCCAGCGGCCGACCCUGCGCGGGACACCGGGCGGGACCGGAGCCGGACGCCGGGGUGCAGAGGACGGGGCUCGACGUCCGGGCCAGGGAAGGACCUGGAGCGCCGCCCUCCGCCCUCCCCGGCCCGGGCCCCGGCCCCGGCCGGACUCGCUAAGCCCCGGAGAGCCCCCGACCCACCCACUCGCUCGCGCCCUCCCCGCGGGGACCGCGUCUGCACCGUGCGGCCUUCGGGAUCCCGGCGGGAAGUGCGCGCAUCCGCAGCAGCCUUGGACGCUCAGGAGGGCCCUGGAAGACGCGAGUGCGGGAGCGCCCUCGGGCGAACUUCUGCGGGGCUCCGAAGCCCGUCCUGAGCUGCCAGGAUGUGGCCCGGUGCUGCUUUCAGGCCUGGUGUGA